UCCUGGAAUGGUUUUUUGUUUAAAUGUUUUUUCGCCUAAGGAUGGGUCUGCGGCCGAUUAGGUAGUUGGUUAGGUAACGGCUUACCAAGCCAUUGAUCGGUACGGGUUGUGAGAGCAAGAGCCCGGAGAUGGAACCUGAGACAAGGUUCCAGGCCCUACGGGGUGCAGCAGGCGCGAAACCUCCGCAAUGUGAGAAAUCGCGACGGGGGGAUCCCAAGUGCCAUUCUUAACGGGAUGGCUUUUCAUUAGUGUAAAGAGCUUUUGGAAUAAGGGCUGGGCAAGACCGGUGCCAGCCGCCGCGGUAACACCGGCAGCUCUAGUGGUAGCAGUUUUUAUUGGGCCUAAAGCGUCCGUAGCCGGUUUAAUAAGUCUCUGGUGAAAUCCUGUAGCUUAACUAUGGGAAUUGCUGGAGAUACUAUUAGACUUGAGACCGGGAGAGGUUAGAGGUACUCCCAGGGUAGAGGUGAAAUUCUGUAAUCCUGGGAGGACCGCCUGUUGCGAAGGCGUCUAACUGGAACGGUUCUGACGGUGAGGGACGAAAGCCAGGGGCGCGAACCGGAUUAGAUACCCGGGUAGUCCUAACCGUAAACGAUGCGGACUUGGUGUUGGGGUGGCUUUGAGCUGCUCCAGUGCCGAAGGGAAGCUGUUAAGUCCGCCGCCUGGGAAGUACGGUCGCAAGACUGAAACUUAA
rnacentral:rRNA from 1 species